GGUCCCGGUAAGAGUGGGAUUAAACACGGAAAUUUUAUUCCGAAAGAGAAUCGGCUAUGUUCGCAUUCUGACCUCUAGUAGUAUAGUGGAAAUGCAGUGACUAGAAAUUGAUUUCUUUUUGACUGUUCUACACAGACACUCUGUAGUGUUCAGUAUGAGCACGGUCAUGAGUUCUGCACCACUUCCUGUCCCAAUUAUGGUCACUUUGUCCUGUUUAGUCAAAAGAGUGAGGUUAAAAGCGUAGAUAUUUAAACAUUAAGUACACAAAAAAAAGUAUUUCUACUUUGUUACUUCACAUCUGUCGAAAUUUCGUACGGAAAGCAGAGGUCUAUAGAUGGAGUCCCCAGAGAUGAGAUUUACAUAGUUUCCAUUCAUGCAGGCAUCACUUCUCGUAACGGUUCAUCUCAUUUGAUUUGUGUGUGUGUGUGUGUGUGUGUGUGUGUGUGUGCGCGUGCAGGGGGAGGAGAGCUUGUAUGCAAGUGUGCUGUGUAUCUUCAUAAAGAGCAGUGUCUGACCGUGAGUGUGCGUCUUGCCCUGAAGAUUAACCUCUGAUCCUUUCUGUCCACCUUCUGGAAGAACAUCAUGAUCGUCAGCACUCUGAUUCUCCUCUUCACUCUUCCUGCAGGUCUGGAAACUCUUGUGCUUACACAGGAGAAAGUGAUGUCUGUAAAAGCAGGAGAGCAUGUUAAGAUUUCCUGCAGAUCAGAUGCUUCUACAGAUUGGGUUUUAACAUGGUACCAACAAAAACCAGGAAAAGCUCCAACCUUCUUGCUCUAUGAUAGCACCAGAGCAAGUGGACUGCCCAGUCGAUUUACUUACAGUGGCUCUGGAUCACAAGAAUAUCUGCAUAUUAACGGUGUUGAGGCUGAAGAUGAAGCCGUCUAUUACUGUGCUUGCCACGGCUGUGUGGGAACCGGCACUGCGGUUUUCGGCGGAGGCACUGAAGUGUCUUUCGCUAUUUCAUCUCCUCCGUCCCUCGUUCUGCUGGCUCCCUCUCAGUCUCUCUCCUCAGGUGAUGAAGUCAGGGUGGUUUGUCUGGCGCAGGGUUUCCGUCCUGACAGCGCCACCCUGUCCUGGUCUGAUAACGGCGACGCCGUAGCGGGUGCAGAGGUGCAGACGAGCUCGUCCGAGCGUCAGUCUGACGGCACCUUCAUCCAAAGCAGCAUGCUGAAACUCAGCCCAGAGCGCUGGAGCUCCGGACGAACCUACACGUGCCACCUGAACCACCCGGCUCUGUCAGCACCGCUGAGUCAGAGCGCCAGCGCUGAAAAGUGCAGCUAGACGGCUGGAGAAAUGGACGUGCUGCACGUGUAGUAACGUGGUCAUGGGCAUGGAGAGGGGAGAAAGUGAUUCAAUCAUACGUUUUCUGAACAGCUGCUUUUGCUUCAUGUCUCAGUGUUUUCUACUCUGAGGUUUGCUGUGUUUCUGCUUGUUUUUAGAGACCAUGUGGAAUAUUUCAUGUUCCUGUAGAUGCUUUGCUAAUCACAACAGUUUUCCCCCAAUAAAAUGAUGAUGAGAAAAUGGUGUAUGGAACUCAUUAAGACAUAUUUGAACAUGGAUUCAAUUAUUUAGUUUAAGCUCAUAUAUUAAAAGAAAAUAAAUAAACUUACUGAUAAAUUGUUUUAUUUUAACUUCAUUUCAACUUUGAACUUAAGGUCAACCUAUCAACGUCAAGACUUUGGAAAACAACACUGAAUUAACAGAUUGCAAAAAUAAAAUUCUCAAUAAGGGAUGGGAAAAAAAGUUUUACAAAAUGUAUGCAUUACUUUAUGCAGUACAUACAGUAUUAUUGAUAAUUACUGAUAUUUCUUUUUUAAGUCUCAUUUUAUGGAGAUUACAGUUAAAAAAAAUAAUUAUAUUCAGUAUUUAAUCCUUACACAAUUUCCGUAAACCCACACCCACACACGUUGUUGUUCACCUUGAACAGGACAAAUAUGUAUAUAAUGUUCAUUAGUGGUGUUUCCUUUACUGAAGAUGAAUCUUUAUUUCAUUCUAUGGUGUAAUAUUUUUAUGUUCCAGGAGAGAUUUAUCAAAGUCUCCUUCUGGAAUCCCAAGAGAUCGAAUUUACAUACAGUUUCUGUUUAAGUUCCUUUUUUUAAAUGAGCUCCUCUCCUCAGGUUUCAGUCUUUCUCUCACUUCUUUCUUUAGUAAGUAAAGAUUAAACACUUGGGGGUGUGCUGUUUUAGGCAAAUAAUCAAUGAUCUUGUUUGGUGAUGAAGUCUGAGGAACAUGAACAUGAGGCAGACUUACUACUAUUACUCUGAAAUCGAUUCUUUUCCAAUAACAGCAUGUCUGAAAAUAU